rnacentral:rRNA from 1 species
ACCUCGGAUCAGGUAGGAAUACCCGCUGAACUUAAGCAUAUCAAUAAGCGGAGGAAAAGAAACCAACAGGGAUUGCCCUAGUAACGGCGAGUGAAGCGGCAACAGCUCAAAUUUGAAAUCUGGCUCUCGGGCCCGAGUUGUAAUUUGUAGAGGAUACUUUUGAUGCGGUGCCUUCCGAGUUCCCUGGAACGGGACGCCAUAGAGGGUGAGAGCCCCGUCUGGUUGGAUGCCAAAUCUCUGUAAAGUUCCUUCAACGAGUCGAGUAGUUUGGGAAUGCUGCUCUAAAUGGGAGGUAUAUGUCUUCUAAAGCUAAAUACCGGCCAGAGACCGAUAGCGCACAAGUAGAGUGAUCGAAAGAUGAAAAGCACUUUGAAAAGAGAGUUAAAAAGUACGUGAAAUUGUUGAAAGGGAAGCGUUUAUGACCAGACUUGGGCUUGGNUUAAUCAUCUGGGGUUCUCCCCAGUGCACUUUUCCAGUCCAGGCCAGCAUCAGUUUUCCCCGGGGGAUAAAGGCGGCGGGAAUGUGGCUCUCUUCGGGGAGUGUUAUAGCCCACCGUGUAAUACCCUGGGGGGGACUGAGNUC